UACGUAGGGUGCGAGCGUUAAUCGGAAUUACUGGGCGUAAAGCGUGCGCAGGCGGUCUGUUAAGACCGAUGUGAAAUCCCCGGGCUUAACCUGGGAACUGCAUUGGUGACUGGCAGGCUUUGAGUGUGGCAGAGGGAGGUAGAAUUCCACGUGUAGCAGUGAAAUGCGUAGAGAUGUGGAGGAAUACCGAUGGCGAAGGCGGCGCCCUGGCUCGCAACUGACGCUCAGACACGACAGCAUGGGGAGCGAACGGG
rnacentral:rRNA from 1 species